UGCUUGGGCGAGAGUAGUACUAGGAUGGGUGACCCCCUUGGAAGUCCUCGUGUUGCAUCCC
rnacentral:rRNA from 1 species